UUCCUCGUGUUUCCUGAUCCUGCCUUGGGUCUGUAGUCAUACUUCUGGAAAUUCCUUUUGGGUCCAAGACGAGGAGGUUCCUCUAAGAUCUCAUGGCCCUGCUUCCUCCCAGUCCCCUCACAGGGCAUUUUCUUCCCACAGGUGGAAAAGGAGGGAGCUACUCUCAGGCUGCGUGUAAGUGAUGGGGGCGGGAGUGUGGAGGAGCUCACCCACCCCAUAAUUCCUCCUGUCCCACGUCUCCUGCGGGCUCUGACCAGGUCCUGUUUUUGUUCUACUCCAGGCAGCGACAGUGCCCAGGGCUCUGAUGUGUCUCUCACAGCUUGAAAAGCCUGAGACAGCUGUCUUGUGAGGGACUGAGAUGCAGGAUUUCUUCACGCCUCCCCUUUGUGACUUCAAGAGCCUCUGGCAUCUCUUUCUGCAAAGGCACCUGAAUGUGUCUGCGUCCCUGUUAGCAUAAUGUGAGGAGGUGGAGAGACAGCCCACCCCCGUGUCCACCGUGACCCCUGUUCCCAUGCUGACUUGUGUUUCCUCCCCAGUCAUCUUUCCUGUUCCAGAGAGGUGGGGCUGGAUGUCUCCAUCUCUGUCUCAACUUUAUGUGCACUGAGCUGCAACUUCUUACUUCCCUACUGAAAAUAAGAAUCUGAAUAUAAAUUUGUUUUCUCAAAUAUUUGCUAUGAGAGGUUGAUGGAUUAAUUAAAUAAGUCAAUUCCUGGAAUUUGAGAGAGCAAAUAAAGACCUGAGAACCUUCCAGAA
rnacentral:lncRNA from 1 species